CCGAGUUUUAUACAAACUCAUCAACCCCUGUGAAACAUACCUAAAAAACGUUUGCUUUCGGCGGGAAAACAGACGGCCCCUGUAAACAAACGGGCCCGCCCCCCGCCAGAGGGACCCCCUAAACUCUGUUUUUUUAUAAUGUUUUUUUCUGAGUAAAACAAGCAAAAUAAAAUUAA
rnacentral:misc_RNA from 1 species